AUGGCCAUAUCAUGUUGAAACACCAGAUCUUGUCUGAUCCCUGAAGUUAAGCAACAUUGAGCCUGGUCAGUACCUAAAUAGGUGACAACUUAGUAAUGCCAUGUGAUGUAA